UGUAUCCCUUUGAUUUGCUUACCACUACUAUACAUAGGCUGCCGGCGGAGGCCGGAUCGGAGGCGGUGAUUGAGGACCGGAUCGGAUCGGAAAAGGAACACAUCACCGAUCCAUCUGGAUACUCCGACUCCGAUCCUUGUAGCAGCAGGCGACUCCGAUUCCUGGUCGUCGUCUACUCGAUUCGAUUCCGAACCGAGUGCUGAUCGACGGGAGCUCUCCUAGGCUAGGAUGAUGUUCCCACGGAGUCAGAGUCCUCACAAUCCAUCUUCU
rnacentral:lncRNA from 1 species